rnacentral:rRNA from 1 species
GACGAACGCUGGCGGCGUGCUUAACACAUGCAAGUCGAACGGAAAGGCCCCUUUGGGGGUACUCGAGUGGCGAACGGGUGAGUAACACGUGAGUAACCUGCCCUUGACUUCGGGAUAACUUCAGGAAACUGGGGCUAAUACCGGAUAGGAAUCCUUGCUGCAUGGUGGGGGUUGGAAAGCUUCGGCGGUUUUGGAUGGACUCGCGGCUUAUCAGCUUGUUGGUGGGGUAGUGGCUUACCAAGGCUUUGACGGGUAGCCGGCCUGAGAGGGCGACCGGCCACGUUGGGACUGAGAUACGGCCCAGACUCCUACGGGAGGCAGCAGUGGGGAAUAUUGCACAAUGGGCGGAAGCCUGAUGCAGCAACGCCGCGUGCAGGAUGACGGCCUUCGGGUUGUAAACCGCUUUCAGCAGGGGCGAAGCUUGUGGUGACGGUACCUGCAGAAGAAGCACCGGCUAACUACGUG